GUUGGGUUAAGUCCCGCAACGAGCGCAACCCUCGUCCUAUGUUGCCAGCACGUAAUGGUGGGAACUCAUGGGAUACUGCCGGGGUCAACUCGGAGGAAGGUGGGGAUGACGUCAAAUCAUCAUGCCCCUUAUGUCUUGGGCUUCACGCAUGCUACAAUGGCCGGUACAGAGGGCUGCAAUACCGCAAGGUGGAGCGAAUCCCAAAAAGCCGGUCUCAGUUCGGAUUGAGGUCUGCAACUCGACCUCAUGAAGUCGGAGUCGCUAGUAAUCGUAGAUCAGCAACGCUACGGUGAAUACGUUCCCGGGCCUUGUACACACCGCCCGUCAAGUCACGAAAGUCGGUAACACCCGAAGCCGGUGGCCCAACCUUUUGGAGGGAGCCGUCUAAGGUGAGACUGGUAAUU
rnacentral:rRNA from 1 species